UAGGGAAUCUUCCACAAUGGGCGAAAGCCUGAUGGAGCAACGCCGCGUGUGCGAUGAAGGGUUUCGGCUCGUAAAACACUGUUGUAAGAGAAGAAUGACAUUGAGAGUAACUGUUCAAUGUGUGACGGUAUCUUGCCAGAAAGGAACGGCUAAAUACGUGCCAG
rnacentral:rRNA from 1 species